AUUGAACGCUGGCGGCAGGCCUAACACAUGCAAGUCGAGCGGAUGAAGGGAGCUUGCUCCUGGAUUCAGCGGCGGACGGGUGAGUAAUGCCUAGGAAUCUGCCUGGUAGUGGGGGAUAACGUCCGGAAACGGGCGCUAAUACCGCAUACGUCCUGAGGGAGAAAGUGGGGGAUCUUCGGACCUCACGCUAUCAGAUGAGCCUAGGUCGGAUUAGCUAGUUGGUGGGGUAAAGGCCUACCAAGGCGACGAUCCGUAACUGGUCUGAGAGGAUGAUCAGUCACAUUGGAACUGGGACACGGUCCAGACGCCUACGGGAGGCAGCAGUGGGGAAUAUUGGACAAUGGGCGAAAGCCUGAUCCAGCCAUGCCGCGUGUGUGAAGAAGGUCUUCGGAUUGUAAAGCACUUUAAGUUGGGAGGAAGGGCAGUAAGUUAAUACCUUGCUGUUUUGACGUUACCAACAGAAUAAGCACCGGCUAACUUCGUG
rnacentral:rRNA from 1 species